rnacentral:rRNA from 1 species
UGGGGAAUCUUGCGCAAUGGGCGAAAGCCUGACGCAGCAACGCCGCGUGGAGGAUGAAGGCCCUUGGGUUGUAAACUCCUGUCGGCUGGGAAGAAAUCGUACAGUGCUCAUACCACUGUGCGUUGACUGUACCAGCAAAGGAAGCCCCGGCUAACUCUGUGCCAGCAGCCGCGGUAAUACAGAGGGGGCUAGCGUUAUUCGGAAUUAUUGGGCGUAAAGGGCGCGUAGGCGGCCAUGCGUGUCUUCCGUGAAAUCCCUCGGCUUAACUGAGGACGUGCGGAAGAAACUGCAAGGCUCGAGUCCGGGAGAGGGGGGUGGAAUUCCCAGUGUAGCGGUGAAAUGCGUAGAUAUUGGGAGGAACACCGGUGGCGAAGGCGGCCCCCUGGACCGGUACUGACGCUGAGGCGCGAAAGCGUGGGUAGCAAACGG